AGUACAGCUUGAAUGACUUGGAGGAACAGCCUGGAUGACAUGAAGACACACAAGAGAGGAAAAACAUAAAUAUCUGUGACAAUAAAAAGGGAAGUAGACAGACUACAGCAGAGAAUACGUAGAACAGUAACGCCCAAUGCUCGGAGACAAAAGCUAAAUUAUUCCACAAGUCUUUGGUGCAACAAUGUCUUCAGUACAAGUUGAUUAACGGCCUCAUCUGGUGUAGCAACACAUGUGGACGUCAGCCCGACGCAGCAGGAACGUGUCCGUUUUAGUGACACAAAGACGGUGAAGAAGCAUCCUCCUCCUCGCACAUAAACUAAUCCUCCGCCUCGCCACCAUCUAAUCUCCAUGAAAACACCUCUAAAUAUAAAAAUACCAGCAGACCAUAUGUCCUCGACACGAACACUCAUAAAACAGGUUGAUGUCUCUCCCAGACACAAACAGUUCCCAUCCUUUUUUCUUUUCUUUUUUUACAAUAACUGCCCAGCUCUGUCAUAAAGACCAUCCAGGCAUGGCGGCGUAGGUGUCAUGACCCCACGGUCACCAUGGUGAGGCCCCUCCUCCUUAAUGUCCCCCUGUCUUGUUACUAUUGAACAGACAUGCAUCAAUCAAUUGAAAUCCAAAAUAGCCAACUUUCCCCUUAAUCAGUUCUGAUCAGGAUUUUUUUUUUUUUUUGAUAUUCAUUAAAACUAAGAACUCAACCAACAGGUGAUGCACUUUUUAAUCUACUGGAACAGCCCAGCCCAUGUUUUUUCAUCAUGUUAUAGUGUUGGAAGAAAAAUGAAAACCUAAAAAAAAA